AUUCAAGAGGAAACAGAAAUAAAUGCAGCUGGAGAAGCAUCCCACCAUCCUGACCACAGCUGAUCUUCCCUGGACACCAUGAACCACGCUGUCCAGACCAUCUUCACUCCCACCAACACCAGCCACCCCUCAACUGCGAAAUGCUCAAGGAGGAGCACGAGGUAGCUGUGCUGAGGGUGCCCCACAACCCUGCUCCCCUGACAUCCACUGUGAUCCACAUCCACAGUGAGACCGCUGUGCCCGACCACGUCAUCUGGUCCCUGUUCAACACCCUCUUCAUGAACUGGUGCUACCUGGGCUUCAUAGCAUUCACCUACUCCAUGAAGUCUAGGGACAGGAAGAUGGUUGGCGACCUGAGCGGGGCCCAGGCCUACGCCUCCACUGCCAAGUGCCUGAACGUUUGCAUCCUCAUCCUGGACAUCCAUGUGAACACAGCACUCAUCAUCCUUUUCACCAGUAGCUCUAUGAUAAUAUUCCAAGCAAUUUCUCAAACGGUAAAGAAUCUCCAAGGCCAGCAGUAGCGCCCAGUUACUUGCCGUCCACUGCAGGCCCUACACCCUGGGCCUGAGUUCUGUAUCAGCCCUUUAUUCUCACAUACUUUUCUACAAUGGCAUUCAAUAAAGUGCACGUGUUCCUGGAAAAAAGAA